rnacentral:rRNA from 1 species
AGUGAACGCUGGCGGUAGGCCUAACACAUGCAAGUCGAACGGCAGCACAGUAAGAGCUUGCUCUUACGGGUGGCGAGUGGCGGACGGGUGAGGAAUACAUCGGAAUCUACUUUUUCGUGGGGGAUAACGUAGGGAAACUUACGCUAAUACCGCAUACGACCUACGGGUGAAAGCAGGGGAUCUUCGGACCUUGCGCGAUUGAAUGAGCCGAUGUCGGAUUAGCUAGUUGGCGGGGUAAAGGCCCACCAAGGCGACGAUCCGUAGCUGGUCUGAGAGGAUGGUCAGCCACACUUGAACUGAGGCACGGUCCAGACUCCUACGGGAGGCAGCAGUGGGGAAUAUUGGACAAUGGGCGCAAGCCUGAUCCAGCCAUACCGCGUGGGUGAAGAAGGCCUUCGGGUUGUAAAGCCCUUUUGUUGGGAAAGAAAAGCAGCAGGUUAAUACCCCGCUGUUCUGACGGUACCCAAAGAAUAAGCACCGGCUAACUUCGUG